CUUUGAGUAGGAAGGACCUAGCUGCCUGAAGGAGUAUAAGGUGUCUUUGCUUCCCCUCUAAAUCAGGUCAGUUUUGUAACCAGCUCAGCCUUCUUCCUCAGUUGUGGGAUUGUGAGAGCCUUCAAAGCAAUGUGCCACUGUCAGAGAAAAUAUGCAGUGGAGUAAAUGAGACUUGGACCCGAUGCUCUCAUGCCACAGCACCAGGUAGAGUGGGUGGAAGCUGGAGACAGGCUAGCACACCAUCUGGGGAGGAACAGGACUAGGCCCCCGGCCUUACUUCAGAGGGACUCAAUUCCUCUCGUGUCCCAGGAGAGGGCGACUCUUCCCCCUCCCAUGGCAGAGGCGUGUGAGAGGUCUAAGACUGAAGAGCGUCCAGAUUCCUCCCUGAACAUCUGCCUUUUGUCAGCCGUGAGAUCUGGACAGGAAGCGAGUCCUGCUGAAUAAUUCAUCAUGCCGACCUCAAAGAGCAGCAUGAACCUCGGAUGGAAGAAAGCUGGCGGGUCUGACACUCCCCAGCUGAUCUGCCUGCUUUUAACAGGGGACAGUGUGAUGCAUGGCUAGAAGGGGUUAAACAGCCUGCAAAAUAAAUAACCCUCAGAAGAUGUGUGGGGAGAUAAUUUUGGUGGUUUUGUCUUUACAUUGUUGACCCUACUCAUACAUAUGUAAUCAACAGUCCCACUCUAUGCUGUACUCUGAUAAUUCAGAGGUCAAAAGAUCCUAGCAUUUAGAUGA